rnacentral:rRNA from 1 species
UCAUCAUACCACCCUAAACAUGCGUGAUUUCAUCUGAUCUUGGAAGCUAAGCAGGGUUGGGCCUGGUUAGUACUUAGGUGGCAAUGAC